rnacentral:lncRNA from 1 species
UUUAUUAUUGGUGUUGUCCUAUGGUGCUCUCCGUGUCGCGCAAGCGUGAGGGAUUCCCGCUGUAGGGUUUGCAAUAUGUUCAUGAUUUGCUUAUGGUGGGUGGCGUGAGUGACAGAAGCACAGACCCGAGUAAGUAGGUUGUUUGCGUAUGGGAUAAAGGGGACUUGAUGCUUUAAUGCUAUGGUUGGGUUUUACCUUAAUGAUCUUUAGUAAUUGCGGAUGCUUGCUAGAGUUCCAAUCAUAAGUGCAUAUGAUCCAAGUAGAGAAAGUAUGUUAGCUUAUGCCUCUCCCUCAAAUAAAAUUGCAAUAAUGAUUACCGGUCUAGUUAUCGAUUGCCUAGGGACAAAUAACUUUCUCGUGACAACAAGCUCUUUACUAAAACUAAUUUAGUUGUGUCUUUAUAUAAACAGCCCCUACUUUUUAUUUACGUGCUCUUUAUAUUCUUUCAAAACUAUCUAAAAACACCUACAAAGUACUUCUAGUUUCAUACUUGUUCUAGGUAAAGCGAACAUUAAGUGUGCGUAGAGUUGUAUCGGUGGUCGAUAGAACUUGAGGGAAUAUUUGUUCUACCUUUAGCUCCUCGUUGGGUUCGACACUCUUACUUAUCGAAAGAGGCUACAAUUGAUCCCCUAUACUUGUGGGUUAUCAAGACCUUUUUCUGGCGCCGUUGCCGGGGAGCAAUAGAAUGGGGUGAAUAUUCUCGUGUGUGCUUGUUUGCUUUAUCACUAAGUAAUUUUUAUUUGCUGUUCUUAGUUGUUUUCUAUCUUUAGUUAUGGGUUGGAAACGUAAAAUACCAAAAAAAUUAGUUGUACCUACUGAACCAAUGAUUGAAGAACCACUCAAAAUCUAUCACACUCCUGAAGCUUAUUACUUGGAUCAUCUUCGAUCCCUAUGUGCUCGUGCUAAAACCCCAACUAGCUUACUUGAGGGCAAAUCUUUAGAUGAGCAUGCUUGUUAUGUGCGACACUGUAUAUCUAAAAAGGGAAACUUUUACUGGGUCAAAUUCAUCGUUUGCAAUGCUAUGCUUGGAAUUUAUGUGAAAUAUUUGAUUUUCUUGUUGUUCUGAAAACCCUAAGAAACACCUUCCCUACCAAUGUGAGUUUAUUGAUAAUGGAAUCGUAUCUUCGUAUGCUAAGGGUGUUUAUAAUUACUAUGAUUUUCAGCAAAUUGAAGAAUUUGUUGCUUUUAAGGGUGCUUACGAAAUUGCUUCUUUGAUUGAAACGUAUGAUGCUAUUCUUUACAAAUCUGAAAUUUUUGCCAUACUUAAAUAUUGCUAUGAUAAUUAUGCUUCUAAUGCCUAUGUUGAACCAUAUAUUGAGGACUACUCCGCUGUCCAAGAAGAGACUACUAUUUUGCUGUCGGAGUAAGUGGCCACGGGUAGCCUAACCGACUACCCCUGGCUCUUCAGAAAAUUUAUCAGGCCUUUGGGCCUUCAAGCACUCCAAGCAUUUGGGCCGCCUUCCCUGGCCGGCUACCACUAAAGCCGACUCCCGGAAGGCGACCCAGCCUCACCGACUCCAGGAAGCCGGCCAAGAAGGACGCCGGCUCCUAGAAGCCGGCCAAGACCACAACCACUCCUACAUAACGACGACCUGACGGGGCAUGGCCACAGUGCGGCCCAUGACCCCCGAAGCCCGAGGCGAGCAUGGCUACAGGGGGCCGUACGGGAGGGAUGUCUCCCGCGCGGCCCGGCACUGUAGCCACGCUAGCCACGACGUCAUCCACGACCCCCUCCUGUACGGCCCAGGACUGCGGGCCCCUUCAGCCAGAGAGAGGCGUGGAGGCGGCCCGGCUUUCCCUAGCCGGCCAGGAGCAUAGCCGGCCUCCAGAAGCCGGCGGCUCCCUUCCUCGGAGCAGGAGCCCCAUUAAGGAGACAAGACGAGGUGAGGCUACAGUGAUAGCCCCCGAGGCGGCCCACUGUAGCCACGCUCACCUCGACAAAGCCCUCAUCAUCAGAGGCACGGCUACAGUAAGCAGCCGCCGACAAAGCCCUAGACGGUGGGGCCGGCCUGUCGACCAAGUAGCCGGCAGCCGGCGGGACCCACCAGCCGGCGGGACCCAGUAGCCGGCGGAGAAGCCGGCGAGCAUAGACACUGACGACUGGGACCAGAUCCCAGUCGGAUUACCAUUGUACCCCCGGGGGGUAGGCCUAUAUAAACCCCCCGGAGCACCCAUGCAAAGGGUUGGCUUCUGGUUCGCACCUCUGCAUGUUUGGCUUCCAAGCAUAGCACACACACACACACCAUAGAUAGAGAGAAGCAAGAGCUAGCCUUUUUCUUCUUCUCCCUUGAUCCCAACAGCUCUAGGAGCGAUUGUAGCUACUCUUUAUCGAUCUAGUGAUCAUGCAGAGACCCCGCAGAGCAGGACUAGGGGUGUUAUCUCCUCGGAGAGCCCCGAACCUGGGUAAGAUUCGCCGGCGUGCAUGUCUUCGCCUCAUCCCGUUUCCAGGCACCGGCGACGUUCUAUUGGCUCCCACAAUGAUAAGCCAUCCCUUGGCAUAUGUCGCACCAACCACCCGACAUUUGGCGCCCACCGUGGGGCCAGGUGCACCGUUGUCCGGAGACCUGUUCUGGACGGGAACCCUCUUCCUUCCCCGCGAGCGCAGCUAGCCUGUUGCGCCCGAUGGCGUUUGCCCCGACGCGCUGCAAGGCGUCGACGACGCCUGUGCAGCGAGCCGCCUCGCCGAUCUGCUCGGAGAGACUCGCCUCUCCGACGAGCCUGCAUCCGACGCAGGCACCGAUUACCCCGAAAGCCGCCUCGUCAGCCUCCUCGACCAACUUCACGUCACCAGCGAGCCCGCUGCGGACAUGGAGUCUGUCGGCUCCACCGACCCGAUGCUCAUCGACUCCGACACCGCGUCGCUCGACGCCUACCCCUCCGACGUGGUGGUCUUCGACGACCCGCUCCCUCGAGCUGACAGCGGCAGCAGCGCUGUCACCGAAGUGCUGGUCAUCAGCCACGUCUCCAACUCGGGCGGGAGCGCCCGCGACGUUCAGCAAGCGGCGAUGCAUGACCUCUCCAUCCCCCUCCCGGCCGACGCCGACGCCGAGACCCUGGAGGCACGCCGUCUUGCCCUCAUCGCGGAGAGCAAGAAGAUAGCCUCGCUGAGGCCCACCAGCACGAAGUCGACCGCGCCGCCUUCGGGACGCCGCCGCCCAGCGGUCCGAGCCGAGCCGGCUUCGUCCAGAAGCGCGGCGCAGCCGUUGCCAGCAUGCUGGGCGCGGAUCGCCCCAUCUACGCCACCCCGCUCGAGAAUCUGCGAGCCGCUCAGGCGGCAGCAGAGGAGCUCAAUGGGCUGGGAGCCGAUGAGCUCUCCUACAUGACAAGACGGAUCCAGCAGCUGAUCGACGCGGCUGCAGAACGGCACGAAGCCGGCGCCCGAGCUGAUAGCCAUCCCCGCGCUGGGAACACGCUGCGACGUCCCGCUCGCCGACUGCGAGCGGCACGCGCCAGAAGAAAGACAAGGAGCCGGCUGCCAGCCGCAGCCGGACUCGCAUCACUAUCGAGCGCGACGCGGAUGGCCGCCCUCGGGCGGUCGAACACCAAGGAAACCUGCCGCCUCCCCCGCCUCGAAGAGAAAGACGCCUCACUCCGCCGCCCAUCACGCAUCCGACUCUUGGCGACCGACUCGGCCGCCGAGAAGGAGUCGGCGAGAGUGACGCCCGCCACAGGAUCGACCGCCUUGCUCGGUCCUUGGCGUUAGAAGAAGAAGACGAUGUCGGCCCGCAAUGCUUUGGCACCCGCAUCCGCGGCGAGCCCUUCCCCAAAGGGUUCUCGCUCCCCAGAGACACACCCAAGUACAACGGCUCGGUGAAGCCAGAAGAUUGGCUCAUCGACUACUCCACAGCCGUCAGCAUCGCCAACGGCAAUCGGCGCGUCGCCGUGAAGUACGUCCCCUUGAUGCUGCAGGGGACGGCACGCACGUGGCUCAACAGCCUCAAGCCAUACAGCAUCAACAGCUGGCUGGACUUCACCGAGGUUUUCGUCCGCAACUUCACCAGCACCUACAAGCGGCCUCCCAAGCCUCGCCAGCUCUCCCUCUGCGUCCAAGGGCCCAACGAGUCGACCCGCGACUACCUCACGCGAUGGGCCGAGCUCCGCAACUCCUGCGAGGGAGUGCACGAGGUCCAGGCCAUCGAGUACUUCACUGCCGGGUGCCGAGAGGGCACCCUCCUCAAGCACCGACUCCUCUGCGACGAGCCGGCUACCCUCGAUGAGUUGCUGAUCACCGCCGACAAGUAUGCCACUGCCGACUCCUCCAUGAAGACCGAGCUCCGAGUGGACGCCUCAGGGAAGGUAGUCGCUCCGGCUCCCAAGACGCCGGCUGGCGACCCAAACCUGCGCCCCUACCAGAAUGACCACAAGCGCAAGGGCCCCAUGCGGACUUCCUCCAGUCGGCAGGUGGCCACAGUUGAAGACGAGCAGCCCGAGGAGCGGCCCGCUCCCAAGAAGAAGGGAGGCCGGCCGCCCUGGCAGCCGUCCUUCUCCUACGAGCAAGCACUCGAUGCUCCCUGCAAGUUCCACAGCGGCGCGAAGCCGUCCAACCAUACAACACGUAAAUGCCACUGGCUCACCCGCAUCACCAAGGGCGAAGGGAUGGUGCCGCCUCCGCCUCCCGGCCCGCCGCCUCCAGCUCCCCAGCAGCCGGCGGCCCGGCCGGCAGUCGGCGCCAUCCAAGACGAGUUCCCCGAAGCGCACGACGCCUACGUCGUCUUCACGAGUCAGGUCGACGACAAGCGCGGCCGACGCCGGCAACACCAAGAAGUAAACGCAGUCGCCUCUAGCACCGCCGAGUUCAUGCACUGGUCGGAAAAGCCCAUCAGCUAGAGCCAGGCCGACCACCCAGAGGUGAUGCCUUCGCCUGGCUCCUAUGCUAUGGUCUUGGACGUCACCCUUGCGAUGGAGAGGCGAGCUGCCAGAUUUUCCCGCGUCCUAAUAGACGGCGGAAGCAGUAUCAACAUACUAUACCGCGACACCAUGGACAAGCUGAACAUCAAAGCAAAGCAGCUCAUGCCGAGCCGCACUGUCUUCCAUGGUAUCGUACCCGGCCUAUCUUGCUCUCCAAUCGGCAAGAUCAAAAUGGAUGUUCUCUUCGAAGACAAAGAUCACUUCCGCCGGGAAGCAAUAUGGUUCGAGGUGGUGGAUCUGGAGAGCCCCUAUCAUGCACUACUUGGCCGACCUGCUUUGGCCAAGUUCAUGGCUGUGCCCCACUAUGCCUACCUGAAGAUGAAGAUGCCGAGCUCAAAGGGGAUCAUCACGGUAGCCGGCGACUACAAGAAGUCCAUCGAGUGUGCCAUGGCCAGUAGCCGGCUGGCCGAGUCCCUCGUGGUGGCAGAAGAGAAGAGGAUGUUGGAACGGGUUGUGGCCAUGGCCGGCAAGCAGCCGGCCUUGUCCCCCAACCCCAAAGACUGUGAUGCGCAGGGCUCCUUCCAGCCUGCGAAAGAGACCAAGAAGAUGCCUCUAGACCCGGAACACCCGGAGAGGUUCGCCGUGAUUGGGGCGAACUUGGACAGUAAAUAGGAAGGCGAGCUCGCCGACUUCCUCCGUGAGAAUCGAGACAUCUUCGCAUGGUCCCCAAAGGACAUGCCAGGUGUCCCGAAGGAUUUUGCCGAGCACAAGUUACAUGUCCGAGCUGAUGCGAAGCCGGUCAGGCAACCCCUCCGCCGACUAUCAGAAGAGAAGCGAAGAAUCAUGGGAGAAGAGAUAGCCCGGCUCCUUGCAGCCGGCUUCAUCAUGGAAGUGUUCUUUCCAGAAUGGCUUGCCAAUCCAGUUCUGGUUUUGAAGAAGAAUAACAAGUGGCGCAUGUGUAUAGACUACACAAGUUUGAACAAGGCCUGCCCAAAGGAUCCGUUUGCUUUGCCACGGAUUGACCAAGUGAUAGACUCCACAGCCGGAUGCGAGCUGUUGUGUUUUUUGGAUGCAUACUCAGGGUAUCAUCAGAUCAAGUUGGACCCGGCUGACCGCCUGAAGACUGCCUUCAUCACACCCUUUGGAGCUUUCUGCUACCUGACAAUGACAUUCGGCUUGAGAAACGCCGGUGCCACUUUUCAGCGUUGCAUGCAGAAAUGUCUCUUGAAACAACUCGGCAGAAAUGCCCACGUCUACGUAGACGACAUUGUGGUGAAGACAGAGAAGCGCGGUACCUUGCUGGAAGACCUGAAGGAAACAUUUGCCAACUUGCGCCGAUUCCAGAUCAAGCUCAACCCCAAGAAGUGCGUGUUCGGAGUGCCAGCCGGCCAGCUGCUAGGCUUCCUGGUCUCCGAACGCGGCAUUGAGUGCAACCCUGUCAAGAUCAAGGCCAUCGAGAGGAUGGAGAUACCCACCAAGCUGCGAGAUGUGCAGAAGUUCACUGGCUGCUUAGCCUCCCUGAACCGAUUUAUCAGCCGACUAGGAGAGAAGGCUCUCCCCCUGUACCGACUCAUGAAGAAGUCCACUCACUUUGAGUGGAACGAUCAAGCCGACCAAGCCUUCCAUGAGUUGAAGAAAAUGUUGACCACUCCGCCUGUCCUGGCCGCGCCGACUGAGAAGGAGCCCAUGCUCCUCUACAUCGCCGCGACAAGCCGAGUCGUCAGCACUGUUGUUCUGGUCCAGCGCCCGGAGGAAGGCCGAGCCCAGCUGGUCCAGAGGCCGGUCUACUAUCUCAGCAAAGUACUGUCCAGCUCAAAGCAAAACUACCCGCACUAUCAGAAGAUGUGCUAUGGGGUGUACUUCGCCGCCAAGAAAUUGAAGCCCUACUUCCAAGAGCACCCCAUCACGGUCGUGUGCACUGCCCCGCUCGCCGAGAUCAUAGGCAGCCGGGAUGCAUCCGGCCGGGUGGCCAAAUGGGCCAUUGCCUUGGCGCCCUACACGAUCUUCUAUCAACCCCGCACCGCCAUCAAGUCGCAAGCAUUGGCCGACUUCCUCGUCGACUGGGCCGAGACCCAGUACCUACCGCCGGCUCCCGACUCCACCCAUUGGCGGAUGCACUUCGACGGGUCCAAAAUGCGCAUCGGCUUGGGAGCCGGCAUCGUCCUCACCUCUCCCAAAGGCGACAAGCUCAAGUACACGCUGCAGAUCCACUUCGCCGCCUCCAACAACGUGGCCGAGUACGAGGCGCUCGUACACGGGCUCCGGCUAGCCAAAGAGCUCGGCAUACGCCGGAUCCUGUGCUACGGCGACUCAGAUUUGGUGGUCCAGCAAUCAUCUGGCGACUGGGACGCCAAGGACGCAAACAUGGCAAGCUACCGAUUCCUCGUCCAGCAGAUGAGCGGAUACUUCGAAGGGUGCGAGUUCCUUCACGUGCCAAGGGCCGACAACGACCAAGCAGAUGCCCUAGCACGGAUCGGCUCCACCCGACAAGCCAUACCGACGGGCGUCUCCCUCCAGCGCCUCCUCAAGCCGUCCAUCAAGCCGUCUCCAGAGUCGGAUUCCAUCUUCGUACCGCCUGCGCCAGAAACAGCCGGAUCCGGCUCAAGAAACCCCGCAGGCGGCGCGGGGACUUCGACGACUGCCCCGGGGACUGACGUAGUCGAACCCGGCCCAGGGACUUCAGAACCCGGCCCGGGGACUGCAGCAGUCGGCCCGGGGACUGCAACAACACGAGAAGCGGUGGACGACUCCAAUGCAACACCCAACCCACCCACCCGAGUCAUGGUGGCCACGUUAACAGCAGAAGAAGUCACAGCUCCCUCAUGGGCCCAGCCCAUCCUCAAGUUCCUGGUCAGCAGAGAGCUGCCGGCUGAUGAGAUCGCAGCAAGACUAGUGCAACGACGAGCCGCAGCAUACACAAUAAUCAACAAGGAGCUUGUGAAGCGCAGCGUCACUGGAGUCUUGCAGCGUUGCGUCGAGCCAGAAAAAGGAGUGACAAUCCUCAAAGACAUCCACCAAGGCGAAUGCGGCCAUCACGCCGCCUCAAGAUCCCUCGUGGCCAAGGCUUUCCGCCAUGGGUUCUUCUGGCCGACUGCCUUGGAGGAUGCUAAAGAAAUAGUCAAGACCUGCAGAGGAUGUCAAGUCUUCAGUUCCAAACAACACCUGCCGGCUUCUGCCCUCAAGACCAUUCCCCUCACCUGGCCUUUUGCCGUCUGGGGACUGGACAUGGUGGGCCCUUUCAAGACGGCCCGCGGCGGCUUGACACAUCUACUCGUUGCUGUGGACAAGUUCACAAAAUGGAUCGAAGCAAAGCCGAUCAAGAAGCUGAACGGGCCGACUGCCGUGACAUUCAUCACCGACAUCACUACUCGGUACGGCGUGCCGCACAGCAUCAUCACCGACAACGGCACGAACUUCGCCAAAGGCGCACUGGCACGUUUCUGCGCGACACAGGGCAUCCGACUGGACUUAGCGUCCGUUGCCCACCCGCAGUCAAACGGCCAAGUCGAGCGAGCAAAUGGACUUAUCCUCUCCGGCAUCAAGCCCCGAUUGGUUGUACCACUGGAGCGAUCGGCCGGCUGCUGGCUCGAAGAGCUGCCGGCUGUCCUCUGGAGUCUGCGAACUACACCCAACAAGUCAACCGGCUUCACUCCAUUCUUCCUUGUGUACGGUGCCGAGGCUGUCAUCCCAACAGACAUCGAGUUCGACUCGCCUCGGAUCACCAUGUACACGGAGGAGGAAGCCAAAGAAGCAAGAGAAGACGGCGUCGACCUACUGGAAGAAGGCCGGCUGUUAGCCCUCAGCCGGUCCGCCGUCUACCAGCAAGGCCUGCGCCGCUACUACAACCGCAAGGUCAAGCCAAGAUCCUUCCAAGAGGGCGACCUUGUGCUCCGGCUGAUCCAGGGAACAGCCGGCCAGCACAAGCUCUCGGCCCCUUGGGAAGGCCCCUUCGUCGUCAGCAAGGCACUCGGCAACGACUCCUACUACUUGAUCGACGCGCAAAAGCCAAGAGCACGCAAGAGAGACGACUCCGGCAAGGAGUCGGAGCGACCAUGGAACGCAAGCCUCCUAAGACGAUUUUACAGCUAAAAAGCAGUAUGUAUCACGCUACCCCUUUUGUAUUAAAUUACAAACCAACAGGCCCCCCGAACAGUACUCGGGGACUGCCUUUUAUUUAUCUAUGAAUGACGAGUGUCAUUUCCAUGAAUGUAUUGUUACAUUUUGAACUCUUGUCCGGCACCGGGUCCGACUAGUCGGCCCGGGAACUGGCCGCCUUGAGCUAUAUUCUAAGUUGUUCCCGAAGUCAGCAAAGUAGUGUGCCGGCUCCCAAGUCCUCCCUUGUUGAAAGUCGCAGCUCAAAGAACUGACUGUCCGACUAGCAAGAGUAAAGACAGAAAAGACGCCCACACGAAAAACAGCUAAGGAACAACUAACCCAUAUAGCAAAUAGACGGCCUCCAUAUACGCCUGCCGGCUGUCACGGCAGCCGGCCGGCCGGCUUCCUAAAAAACUUAGCUUAAGUCCAGCAGAGCUCAAAGUACUUCCCCCUCCCCAAUCGGCCAGGCACUCCCCGGCUACAGUUUGUAGAACAACUGUUUGACUAGGGAGGCGGCAACCAAGGGAGGGCGGCAAAGGAAAAAAGCAGAAGGACAAAAAGCAAAAGUACAAGAAAAAGCCGAUUGCAUAACUUAUAUACAUAAAGCCGCCUAAAGGCUGGCAACAGACUUGAGUUUCAAUACACCCAGUGGGUGGAAUUGCGCAGACUUAACCAAACAUUGUUCCAAAGCAACAAGACAGGAAAACAAAAGAAAGAAGACUAAGGCAUGACUUGGAGGCCGAGCUGGUCGGUGAAGGCAGCUCGCCGGCUGAGGGGGUGGCCGCCUAGCUGGUCCCGGCUUGACCGCCUCCCGCGACAAGAGACGCACUCGCACGCGACGUAGUGCUGGAGGCGCGGUCAGGCUGGCCGGCUACUCCACCAGCCGGCUCGGCGUCUUCACCUUCCUCCUCCUCCUCUUCGCCCUCGUCGCUGGAGUCGAUCUCCUCCGCCGAGUCCUCGCCGUACGCCGGGUCCAGCCCGAACCAAUCUUCCGGCUGGGCGACUCCAUUGUCGUCCACCUCGGGGGCGAAGACGUUGGUGUCGGUGUACUCGGCGAUCGCCGAAGCCCGCCGAAUGAUGGCCGGCCGCGCCGGCUCCAGCUCCGCGUCGGCUUGCUGCCGCCAGGUAGCCAGCUGGUCCAGAUUCAUGCCUGGGUACCAGGCCUUGACGAACUCCAGUGCCCGCCCGGCUCCGGAGCGAGCCGCUGACGCCUUCCAAGCCUCGAAGCGGCCGACGGCCACCUCCAGCCAGUCAGCGGUCCGACUAGGAGUGCGCGGGAUCACUUGGCCGGGCCAGAGGGCGGCCAAGACCUGCGACCCGGCACGCUGAAGCCGGCUGGAUACGAGCCUGGAUCGCCAGGAGCUGCUCCUCCAGCGAGCGGCCGACGGUCGGCGAGAUCUCGAAGCCGGCUUGCCUCUUCGCCUGGCGACGAGCUUCGAUGGCCUGGUUGGCAGCAGUUGAGUAGCCAGGGAAGUACUCUGCGCGAAGAAGAAAAGAAAGAAGAACCCCAAAUCAGAAAAACAAGUCGAAGUAGCAGAUGGCAAGAGAGGAUGAAGGGGUAGACGACUUACCGUCAACCAGGUCCUCAAUCUGGCCAUAGCCGGAGACCAGGGUCUGCCUGGCCUCGUCCCAGCCGGCCGCCUCCGUCUCGAACUCGGCCUGGAGGGUGGCCUCGCGAUCCUGCGCAGCCUUCAGCGCAGCCUUGUGGCUUUCCUCCUGGUCGGCCAGCUUCUUGACCAGGCGGUCGCGCUCCUGCACCAAGGCGGCGAGCUCCGCGUCCUUGGCACGAAGAGCAGUCUGGGACUCCCCCAGCUGUGCCCUCAGACUGGCGUUGGCCGCUGCAGAGAUAGAAGAACAAGAAGAGCAAUGAGAAGUUAUCAAGGAAGAUCCGAGCCGACUGCUCAGCAGUCGGCCCGAAUCUCGGGGACUACACCCAGUGGGUGCGCUGACGCGCCCCCACAUGAGAUAAAGAGCAAGUCACAUACCUCGGCUUUCAGUGAGAUCGGCGGUCUUUUGCGUCAGCUCCCGAGCCUGGGAGUUGAAGGCGGCCGCUCGUAGGUUGUGAUAGUCCUGCAAGAUGGACAGAAGACCGACGUGAGAACAAAGCGGCAAAAACAAAAUCAUCAAGGAAGAUCCGAGCCGACUGCUCAGCAGUCGGCCCGAAUCUCGGGGACUACACCCAGUGGGUGCGCUGACGCGCCCCCACGAGAAAAAUCAAGAACAAGAUUAGAAUACUAACCCGGAUGGCUGCCCGCGUGGCGAGGAACUCGUCGGUGAACUGUCUCAGCACCGCGGCCUGGCCCUGGAGCCGGGUCCGGACGUCUUGUGCAGCGAUGUUCACCACGGCUGUCCCUCCGCCUCGCGUCCACCCGGAGGUAGCGCUGGCCGCCUCCGCGUCUCGGGCCGACGAGCUGGAGCCCACGGCCAGCCGUGGCUCCGACGCCGCCUUCUGCGGCUCCGACGCGGCCUUCCCUGCGCGCCGGCUUGGCGGAACCCGGACCGCCACCUCAGCUCCCGCGGCCGGCUCGCCUUCCGCCGACUGUGCGGGCGCAGGCUCAGUCUGGCCGCCUUGGGCCGCCCCAGUCGGAGGAGUCGGCCCCGGCGCCUCCCUCAAGAAGAUGACGUCAUCACCGCUCCCUCCCAGAUCCGGCUGGGAACCGCUGGCUCCCCCUGGCGAGGGAUCCGCGCCCCCGGGCGCCAUGGCGUGCAGGGGGGUGACCAUCAAGGCCUCCCCUGCCGCCGCUUCGGCCUCGGCCUCUGCCUGGGCCUUGGCUGCAGCCUCGGCAAGCGCCUUCGCCGCCUCCUCCUCCCGAGCUGCCUGGGCGGCGGCUGCCCUCCGUGCCUCCGCCUCCCGCGCUUCCUGCUCCUCCCGCACCUCCCGCGCGUUCCUUUCCGUCGCCUCCAGGAGGGCGGCGCGGGGAUCUACGCGGCGGGUGGUGCUCCCAGAGCCCCCUGGCGACUCGACAACGGAGCCGGCAGCCGCCCGCUCGAGUGACAGUGGAGCUCUGAUCAAAGAAAAGAAGACAAAGGUUCAGAAAACCCCCAAGAAAAGAAAGAAGGAGAACACACAGAAAGAGAGAAAGCUUACGCUGACACGGCCUGCGGCUGCUUCACCACUUUGCGAAAACGAGCUGCCUUCGCGGCCGCCUCUUCCCGCCUGGUGGCCGCUGCCCCACCCCUGGGCUUCUUCGUCCGGCUACCGAACAUGCCCUGGGUGGCGCGACGUUUCUGGCCUCUACCCCGAGCAGGCUGCGCGCCGGAGGAGCCCGCGCCGCGUCCGGACGCCGGCUGGCGAUGCGGGACGGCUUCGGCUUCGUCCUCGUCCGGCCAGUCCUCAAAGGUAGCGGAGAGCCCGGCGCCGCCGGCUUCACCGCCAGCCGGCUCGGUGGCGUCCUCCAUAUGGACUGCCCCCAGGUCGGGGUCCUCCUGGUCGUGCUCGGUCCGGUCGGGGACGAAACGGCGCUCCGCGUCCGCCCCGCCGGCCGGUCGAAGCAGAGGACUCUGUCGAAAAGAGCGAGCCGACGGAGUUAGAGUCGGCCCGAAGGAACUCGGCGACAAAGCUGAGAGAGAAAAAGAGAAAAAGAGAAAGGGAGCGUACCGUAGGCGGAGGAUUAGCGCGGCUGUAUGGUCCCUUGCCGAAUUGCCAGUCGUCGGGAAGCUGGCAGUUGGCGAGGUAGUUCACCAUGUCGGCCGCGUCGGCCUGCGGCAUCUCCUUGGUGCACAUCCGGCUCGGAUCGAGCUGGCCGCUCAUCUGACAGAUCAGAUGAGGCCGGCUCUGGAGCGGGAGGACCCGGCGCAUGACGAACGCGGCCAGAAGGUCGGGCCCCGUCAGGCCCUCCGACUGGACCAUCACCCGCAGGCAGGCGAUGGCGGCGUUUCCUCCCGGAGACAGCGUUACCGCCCGAAAGGACCACUGGGGCAGCCUCCCCGCCGGCGGGCCGGCUACGUAAGCCGGCAGGUUGAGGUUGUCGCCUCGGGGAGCAAUGUUCCGCACGUAGAAGUAUGACUUCUGCCACUUCUUCACCGAUUGGAUCAGCGUGAUGACGGGGAAGGGGUUGUCGGCGCCUGAUCUCCGCGACGCGAUGAAGGCGCCGGUCUGAGCCGACACGCCCCUCACACGCGUGCCCAGCUUCGACUGGAAGAACUCCCCCCAGAGCUCGAGGGUGGGGAGGACGCCGAGAUAGCCCUCGCACAGGGUGACGAAGGCCGACAGCAGCACCACCGCGUUGGGGGUGAGGUGAUGUGGCUGGAGUUGAUAGAAGUCCAGCCAGGAGCGGAAGAAAGCGCUCACUGGCAGACCGAAGCCGCGCAGGAAGUGCGAGCGGAAGACCACCCGCUCGCCCUCCUGCGGCGCCGGCCUGACCUCCUUCUCCGGCGCGAGGCGGACCUCCACUUUGUCCUUGCUGGGCAGACGCCGGGUGUCGCGGAGGAAGUCGAUGUGGUCUUGGUGAACGAUGGAGCCAUCCCAAUCCCUGCCAAGCUGCUCAACGUGGGGAGGCAUAGCGGAAGCUGGCACGGCGGCAGAGAAGCGUGCGGAGGAAGAGCGCGGCGGCGAGGCGCUGGCGCAAGAACAAGCAAGGCGAGAAGACGAAGGGAGUAGGAGGAGCGUGCGAGGGUCUGCCGCCCCCCACCUCCCCCUACUUAUAGCCUCACGCGGCCGAAGAGGCCGGACGUGGGGGGGAAGACGUGGGAUUAACCGCGCCCACUCCCCCCACGACUCGCGUUUAUUACGCAUAAGUGCGAGCCGAAACUGCCGCACGGAUCGUGCGGGCGGUUUCGGGAUACAAAGGAUCCGCGCCUGGGCCGGGGCGCGGACGUGGCGGGCCCCCUCUCUGCGGCAACGUCCCGUCUCGCGCAUGGGCUGGCAGGCUUUCCGGCUAUGUGGCGCGCCGUCAGCCCGCGGCCCGGCGCACGUGCCAGCGGGUUCCCGCCCUUCGACUCCAGAAGAUUUUGGCUCAGGCGGCGUGCCUGACCAAGGCCGGCACCCAGCUGCCGGCUUGUCACGAUAGGAAGCUGUUCGAGCUUCUCGAACCCUAUUCCACCUCGAAGCCCGAUCAGUUUCGGGGACUACUGUCGGAGUAAGUGGCCACGGGUAGCCUAACCGACUACCCCUGGCUCUUCAGAAAAUUUAUCAGGCCUUUGGGCCUUCAAGCACUCCAAUCAUUUGGGUCGCCUUCCCUGGCCGGCUACCACUAAAGCCGACUCCCGGAAGGCGACCCAGCCUCACCGACUCCAGGAAGCCGGCCAAGAAGGACGCCGGCUCCUAGAAGCCGGCCAAGACCACAACCACUCCUACAUAACGACGACCUGACGGGGCAUGGCCACAGUGCGGCCCAUGACCCCCGAAGCCCGAGGCGAGCAUGGCUACAGGGGGCCGUACGGGAGGGAUGUCUCCCGCGCGGCCCGGCACUAUAGCCACGCUAGCCACGACGUCAUCCACGACCCCCUCCUGUAUGACCCAAGGACUGCGGGCCCCUUCAGCCAGAGAGAGGCGUGGAGGCGGCCCGGCUUUCCCUAGCCGGCCAGGAGCAUAGCCGGCCUCCAGAAGCCGGCGGCUCCCUUCCUCGGAGCAGGAGCCCCAUUAAGGAGACAAGAUGAGGUGAGGCUACAGCGAUAGCCCCCGAGGCGGCCCACUGUAGCCACGCUCACCUCGACAAAGCCCUCAUCAUCAGAGGCACGGCUACAGUAAGCAGCCGCCGACAAAGCCCUAGGCGGUGGCGCCGGCCUGUCGACCAAGUAGCCGGCAGCCGGCGGGACCCACCAGCCGGCGGGACCCAGUAGCCGGCGGAGAAGCCGGCGAGCAUAGACACUGACGACUGGGACCAGAUCCCAGUCGGAUUACCAUUGUACCCCCGGGGGUAGGCCUAUAUAAACCCCCCGGAGCACCCAUGCAAAGGGUUGGCUUCUGGUUCGCACCUCUGCAUGUUUGGCUUCCAAGCAUAGCACACACACACACCAUAGAUAGAGAGAAGCAAGAGCUAGCCUUGUUCUUCUUCUCCCUUGAUCCCAACAGCUCUAGGAGCGAUUGUAGCUACUCUUUAUCGAUCUAGUGAUCAUGCGGAGACCCCGCAGAGCAGGACUAGGGGUGUUAUCUCCUCGGAGAGCCCCGAACCUGGGUAAGAUUCACCGGCGUGCAUGUCUUCGCCUCAUCCCGUUUCCAGGCACCGGCGACGUUCUAUUGGCUCCCACAAUGAUAAGCCAUCCCUUGGCAUAUGUCGCACCAACCACCCGACAUUUGCAGUAGUCUAUGGAAGAAGAAAUUGAUGAAACUGUGAGCUUAUUGGAUGAAAAAGAUGAUGAGGAGAGCGAAGAACAAAAGGAGGAAGAGCGGAUUAGCUACACGUGCCCACCUUCUAAUGAGAGUAACUCUACAACUCAUACAUUGUUUAAUUUCCCUUCGUGCUUACCGAAGGAUGAUUGCUAUGAUGAUUGUUAUGAUCCCGUUGAUUCUCUUGAAAUAUCCCUUUUUGAUGAUGCUUGCUAUGCUUGUGGCCAAGAUGCCAAUAUGAAUUAUGCUUAUGGAGAUGAACUUGAUAUAGUUCCCUAUGUUAAACAUGAAAUUGUUGCUACGCUCCCCCCUCCGGCAGGGUGCCGGAACAGGUUCCCGAUUGGUUUUUGAUGGCUACAGAGGCUUGCGGCGGCGGAACUCCCGAUCUAGGUUAUUUUCUGGAGGUUUCUGUAUUUAUAGGAAUUUUUGGCGUAUGUCUCACGUCAGGAGGGGCUCCGAGUCGUCCACGAGAUAGGGGGACGCGCCCAGGGGGGUGGGCGCGCCCUCCACCCUCGUGGACGGCUCGGGACUCUUCUAGCCCAACUCUUUUACUCCGAGGGCUUCUUUUGGUCCAUAAAAAAUUAUCAAAAAUUGGCACGUCAAUUGGACUCCGUUUGGUAUUCCUUUUCUGUAAAACUCAAAAACAAGGGAAAAAACAGAAAACUGGCGCUGGGCUCUAGGUUAAUAGGUUAGUCCCAAAAAUCAUAUAAAAUAGCAUAUAAAUGCAUAUAAAACAUCUAAGAUGGGUAAUAUAAUAGCAUGGAACAAUCAAAAAUUAUAGAUACGUUGGAGACGUAUCAUCCAUUCUUAUCUUGUUUCUCUUCUGGCUCUUUCUUCCUAUUUUUCUUUGGCCUACCCAUUACUUUUGUGUAUAUAGGUGGGAAGACAGGGAUGCCAUGCAACUUUUCCCACUUCUUCAUGUCACUCAUAGGCAUCAGGUUCCAUCCAUAGCAAUCCUUGUAGUUUUCCACUGUAUAGCACUCAUGAACCAUGCUCUCUGGUUCAAUCCUCUCGUGCCUGAAACAUGCAAUAGCAUGAUGGCAAGGUAUGGCAGAUAGCUCCCAUCUCUUACAUUCACAUCUCUCUUCCAUCCAGAAUAUAACUGCGAAUCAAUACAAUUGGAUCAAUGAUUAUGUAGGCAGAAUAAAAAGAGGAAUACAUUUAGCAACAUAGUAGCAUGGAUUAUGUUGGCAGAAAGAGGAAUACAUCCACAUUUACCAAUAAAUAUGUGGAUUAUAAAAAAUGAAUGCAUCUACAAAAGAGGAUUUUGGAUCAAACCUGUUGAAAACUUCACUCAUGUUGUUUAGAAGGAUGUCACAUUUGCUGAAAGGGGAAAAAAUGCUUUGAUCCAUGUUUUAGGUGCCAACUUCUCCACCCACUGGUAUGCAGCAAGGCUAAGUUACUUCAUCUGCUCCAUGUUCUUACUAUAAGCAAUUUCAUGUGUAGAUCUUGCUAUUGCCCAUAAAUCAUUCUUGAGUUGUUCUCCCUUGUGUAUUUUAUGAAAGUUCUGGUAGAUGUGCCUAACACAGUUUCUGUGUUCAGCAUAAGGGAAAACUUUUUGCACUGCUGCUAUUAAACCCUAAAAAGAAAUGUCAUUUGGUGAGUAAGUAUUGUAAGCAGAUGAUUACCAUGCAAUAAAUUAAAGAGGUAGCAAGUGCUAACCUUUUGCUUGUCACUCAUUAUUGUAUAUGGUGAAGAGUUGCUUAUAUUCAAGUCAUCCUUCAAAGUGGCUAAGAACCACUCCCAACUAUAUGUUGACUCAACUUCACAUAGCCCAAAUGCUAUGGGGAAAUACAUUGGGAUCAACACCAACUGCUGUAAGUAAGUUCCCUUUGUGUCUAGUUUUUAUGUGGCACCCACCGAGAAAGAUGACUUGAAUAUAAGGUACCCUCUCUUACAUGCAUCAUAUGACCAGUACAGGGUUGAGAAGUGGUCUUUUGUUUCUUUAGUCCUAUCAUCAAAAACCUCCUUAGUGCACACGAAGAACUUGCUUCCUGGGUUAGUCCUCCUAAGCUCUUGGCCAUAGUCCCACAACAUAUUGUAUUGGUCAUCAUCUUCACCUCGAAUUUGUUUAACUGCUGCUCUUCUUGCCCUACCAGCUUACUUCUCUUUGCAACCAUGUUGAAUUCCUGCUCCACUUUAUCUGAAAACUUUCUCAAAGGCAUCUUCUCAUUGUCUCUGAAUUCUUCUCUGAAUUGUGCAGUCAGGAAUGGUGCAGUCAAAGCUUUCAGAUCCCAAGCCUUGGUGCAUGUGUGAUUGUCAAGGUAUUUCUUUAUCUGAAUUCUAGUACUCCUGUUAUCUCUGCCCGCCUUCAAGUACCAAGUACAUCCAGGCUUGCAUACUACCUCAAAUUUGGUGGUCGUAUUCCUUAUCUUCUCAACCUUUACUCUGUUUCUUACACUGUAUGCAACCACAACAAGCCUUAGCUCUUUCAUAUCACCAAAAAGCAUGCCAACUCUAAAAGUUGGUGCUUUAAGGUCACUGAAUGGAUUGAAUGUGCUGAAUUUGUAUCUAAGCUUGUCUCCUUCUUCUUUUGAUAGGUUCACAUGACUGUCAUCUAGGGCAUCUUCAGGAAGUUCUCCUUCAAAGUCAGGCACAAUCUCCUUCUGUCUAUGGUCAUCAACAUCUUUGUCUACAUUGCUCUCAAACAGAUCAUCAUCACCUUGUGCUACUUCGUAAUCACUCUCAUAGAAAUCCUCAUCAGUUUCAACUUCUGCAUCUACAUGUUCGUCACUACUGUCACCUGCAUCUUCAGCACUACUGUCAUCACUGUCACAAUUGCCAUCUUCUUCCUCAAAUUCUCGAUAUGGAACCCUUGAGCUACAGCCCUCACCAAAUGACAUGAAUCUCUUUGCUUUCUUGUAGUUACAUCUCAUCUCUGUUGCAAUUUCUGGUUUCUCAAAGUUGUCCACAUUUUCUUUUCCCUUUGCUGACUUAACUGGAGUAAUAACCCUUGGCAGCUCAGGCAUCCCCUCUACCAACACAUCAUCAUCAGUUACUGACUCCAGGGUGUCACCAUGGUCUACAAGCAAGACCAAGUUCUUGUGAUCCACUGUUGCAGCAAUCAUAAGGACAAUGUGUGCAUCACAUGCAAUCAACUGAAGGCCAUCACACAAAGACUUUCCAGGUUUGCUCCAAUACACAUCUAUCUUGGACACAGCACUGUCAUAGCCCAAUUGGAGAAGAAAAACAUCAAUCCAUAGAACUGACCAAGUAUCACUGUCGCAGCUAUCAAACCAGUCCACUUCUUGAUCCAUGUAGGUCAUGUUGCUAUCACUUCCACACAAAAAACCUUUGUGAUGUAUCUCAACUGAAAACAGUCCAUCAAAUUGCCCUGCAUUAUGAAAUAGCACAUACUUUCAGUUAAAUGCAUUGCACACAUUGAGAAAAAUUCAGUUAAAUGUACUGCAAACAUUCAGACAUAUUCAGUUAACAUACUGCGCAUAACUUCAGUUAAAUGCACUGCACACAUUUAGACAAAUUCAGUUAAAUGUACUGCACAAAUUCAGUUAACAGAGUUGACACAUUCAGAGUCCGCGCACAUUCAGUGAACACCAUUCAAAUUUACUACAUGAAUCACACUACAGCUCCAGUACUAAUCUGAAUCAAUUUAACUAGAGGAAUCAUAGCACUUCUAUACCCUGUUUCGAUGGCCACAUAACCAAGACCAUCCCCUUUCAGAGAAAAAGUGCGCUGACUGAUAACCCCCAAAUAAACCCUAGCCCUAUUUUGACGUGAAAAGGGCCCAAUGCCGUCCACAGCAAUCCGCAUCUUGUAAAUAACACGGAUAAGAUGAACAUCAACCACGAGAAAUCGAAGCCCAUUACAGUGGUUAACCCUACCCUGUGAUUACGUCGUACAGGCGCGAGAAAAUUGAGAAGGAGGAACAGAGCGACGAUAGGAACUGCCUCGCCAGGACGUCGACGACACGGGCCAUCCAUCGCCUCCGUCGCCGGCCGCCGUGCCGCGCCGCACCACCUCCGCCUUGGACUGAUCGAGACUGAGGGAGAGGAAAGGAAAGGGAUACGAAACGGUGGGGACUCUGAGCGAAGGAGCACGGGAUUAAGGGUACCAAAUAGAAAAACUAAACACGGUCCCUGUUCCCGCCGUUACAGGGGCUUUUUUGAGAGAAUUAAUUAAAGCCCAGGGGGUUUUCUGCUUAACAGCCAGGCUGUGCGCCUCACCCAGCCUCUAUGUCGCCCCGAGCCACUGACAUGUGGGCCAAUGACACGCUGGCGUGCCACGCGGGUGGUGCACACCGCGGAAUACGUCUGGAGGCACUGUAUUUGAACCACGGGACAAGUUGCGGCACCACUUUUGUGUAUUUUGCAAGUCUAGGCACUAAACUGACCGCACAGAACAAGUUUAGGCACUCAUAGUGUAUUUAACUCUUGUUUUAAAUAGUUUAUAUUCCCUGAUGAUCAGGGGGUAGAUAUCCAUAUCAGAUACCUGUUUCUGCUCCCUCUGUUCCUAAAUAUUUGUCUCUCUAAAGAUUUCAACAAGUGACUACAUACGAAGCAAAAUGAGUGAAUUUACAUUAUAAAAUAUGUCUAUAUACAUCCGUAUGUGAUAGUCCAUUUGAAAUCUCCUAAAAGACAAAUAUUUAGGAACGGAGGGAGUACGAAGCAUCCAUGCAUCCUACUCCUAGAUCACGCAUCAAAUUCAUAUGCAAUCGUAUCACUAAGCUUUCUACUCUCUUUUUUUGAGUGAAAGCUUUCUACUCUCUUUUUUUUUGAGGGAAAGCUUUCUACUCUCUUUUUUUUUGAGGGAAAGCUUUCUAUUCUCUUUUUUGAGGUACACUAAGAAUUCUACUUUAUUCAGGAGGUGACGAAGGAAUAAUUCCACUCAUGCUUGUUCACGCACAAAUACAAAAGGACAGCAGAAAGCACACCUAACCCCUGGAGACGCUCGAUUUUGACGAUGUGAUACAUGCUCAAAUUAUGAGUGGGAUACAGGUAUCAUUUGGCAUCGUUGGCUGUCAGAUCUGCCAUUGGAUGCUCCAGGUUUUUCACGAUUAGAACAAGAGGGUGGCAAGAAAUUGUUGGCCUCCGACGAUUUCUAACCAUCUGGGUGGCAAAAUAUGGGCGGUAGCAGGACAGUCGCGCAUCGAAUUCAUAUAGAUGACCAUUUAACAAUUUGGGCGGUUUUUCUGUGACCAACGAAUAAUUCCACUAAUGCUUGUUUUGACCCGCACCUAAUACUCAAGAGAAGCUCAGCAUUGACAAGUGUUAUAGAUGACCAUUUAACAAUUACAGACACAUUUUCUAGCUUAAGCAAAGUCAGGGCAGCUAAGGACAACUGUUCAACAAACAAAGAUCAUAAACAACCACAGAGGGGAUAGUAGAGCACAGCAGAGACUGAUUAAGAACAGAAGCCAAGUAUGAAAACGAGGAAUAUAAAAUUAGAGCAUCAAAACAAAGCAUGGCCGGCCUUCACAAAAUAAUAAAAAUAUAAGGAUGCAGAGCAACCUUCUAACCAUAAUGGCACGACAGGAACAGAAUUAUCGGUUUCACAUGCUCAAACAGCAGUCACUAACAUGGUUUCAUGGUUUUGUCACCAGGAUUCAAACAUUAAUAGUAGUUCAUUACAUAGCUUAUAGGAUAAAGAUCAGACUUGAUGAAGCACCACAGUUCGUUGAUAAUUUCCUAGCCCUUGCUUCCUUUGAGGUUUCCAUUCUUAACGGUACUGUUAAAUAAGAGUGCAGAUUCAGAGAUCAGUAUAAAGAGAUUUUGAUAUGCAAAAUAAAAGGCAUACAGGAAAUUAGUCGCACACAAACAUUCAGGUAUUCAGGCACAAUAGCAUAUGAAUCUGAAAAAUAAUUUACCCAAACCCAAAAAUUGAAGCAUAAAACCUACAGUUAAUCAGACAAAAGUGGAAAUGGAAACAACAUUUUUCAAUCAUCUCAAUUUUCUACUAAAUCAUAAAGUAGUUGUGUAAAUAUAUACCUACUUAAUAGAUAUUUGCACAAUUGCAAUACACUCAAUGUGUUAUGCAUUGAAAUGGGCCCGUAUGCUCAAAAAAUACUUGGCAGUUAAGGGUUAGUAAAUAGUUGAAACUGGGGACAGAUGCAACAGAGCAAGACUUAUAUUGGUGGGAGCAACAAACGGAGCUAGUAUCAUGUAGUCAUGCACAACUCUGUCAGUUCCAAGAUGCCUUAUGGUUAAUAGAAAUUGCACACUGAUCAAACAGAUACAAAACAUUGCAAGGCAAAACAUGAGGUGAUGAUUGCAAAACUUGACCAGGUUUACUCUGGCAAGAGGAGCAACACACACAUCUAUUUUGAAUAGAUGAAUCUAAGAUGUCACACAUUACACCACAGUAUGUACCAACAAAUGCCAAGAGAGGCUAAAACUGCUUGACCAUACCAAGAGAGGCCUUGUAGACAGAGCAUAUAUAUUAUUCAAAGCAAAGCAUGGUGACAUAUACUAGUAUUACUCGGCAGCCAUCAAAUUCAGGCACAGAUUCAGGAAAUCCACGGACAGUGUGGCGGCGCAUACCUUGAUGAAGCCGAUGUCCUUGGCGUUGCUGCGGAAGCACUGCCUGCAGCACAUCAGCCCGUACUUGCGGAUCAGGCCAUGCGAGUUGCCGCAGACACGGCUGCAAGAAAAGAUCCAAACCACCACGCGUCACGACAUAAAACCAUCAAACAAUCCAAGGCGCAUGAAUCAUGCACAUCGAACACGAGCAUAUAAGAUUUAGAGCUAAGCUACGAGAUUGCGCCACGGAUCUACAGGUGCGGACAUGGAACCGCCUCUUGCUACCGAUCUAGGAGAGGGCGGGGUACAAGUUCCCAAUCGAUCAAGAGUAGGGAGUAGAGAGAGGAUCAUUACCAAACCCUGGAUCCGGGGCCGUAGUUCUUGGGGUGCGAGUUCCAGACGUUCGAGUGUCCCAUGGCGGCGGCGGCGGGGCGGCUUGCAACUGGAAACCCUACCUUUUGCUCUCGCCUGGCUAGAAUGAGGAGGUCGGGUCGCGAGGGCGCCGGGUUUUCUAUAUAGCCUGGCAGGCUUCACUUGCUGGGCUCACUUGUACACUUGCGAAACUUUGCCGAUCGAUGGCCUUGCGGAUACAUGGGCUGGCCUCACAGCCCGUAUUUAAGCAACCACGGCCCGGUAACUGGGGUGAUCCAUUUUUUUGGCGUCUUUUGUUUUUCAAACUCCAAAUUUCGUAGUGUUCUUUUUAUUCGCAAGAAAAUUUCGUGGUGUUCUGUUCCCUCUUGGUGAACGACACCCACUGCAGACACGGCGUGUGAUUUUAACGCUGUCUUCGGGAAUCUCCGGUUUGCAACUGAAAAGAUACUACCAACAAAUACGGAGUACUAAUGAUGCUUAAAACUGUCAAAAAAGGGGGGAAUUUCUAGAGAUUGACAGAGCAGUCAGGAGUCUCUACACCGAGUUUUUAAAUCUAAGCCGAUACGACCGAUAUAGACUGAUAUAUCAGUUUUAGGGCUCUACGGAUAUAAAUAUAACAUAUUGGUUAGUAAAUAUCGUUUCCAGACAUAUUAUCCAACAUGAACCAAAAUAUCCCAUCCGCAUGUGUUAGUUUAUCCCGCCGCCUGAUGGUGCUUCUAUCACUUUCAUCAUCGUGACACAAACAACCGGUAUGAAGAACAUGCCUGCUCAUGUUUUUGUUUUGUUUUUGAAUAAAAGCACCCAAAAGAUAUCUUAGAUCUGGUUAAUAUUAAGAAAAACAAAGGCCAGUACAAAGAAUAGACAAGUGAACGUAGAACGACUUGUACAAAAUAAAAUUACACUAUUAAAAAGCAUACUAGUCUUUUUCUUUCUUUGAUUGUACACCGCCGGCCAGAGAUUAAGAAUUACACUGAACCAACAGCAAAGAAAAACGAAACCUGUGAAUGCCCUCGCCAUACCAGAUUUUGAAGACCGCAAUAGCCGCUCGCCACUUGAGACGAGAUUUAAAAAUCGUUGAACCAUUGUAUACUGGAGCAUCACCCCAUACAGAACAGGCUUGCAAUGCAUCACCAUCAGCACAGAGUGUUGGAGAAACUGGAUCAUGCCACAGAACAACACGAAAAAAGAUGUCGAAGUCGCCACACCAAUAGCCAGCCAUAAGGUCUCCUUGUUGGGGAACGUACUAAUUUCAAAAAAAAUCCUACACACACGCAAGAUCAUGGUGAUGCAUAGCAAGGAGAGGGGAGAGUGUCGUCUACGUACCCUCGUAGACCGUAAGCGGAAGCGUUACAACAACACGGUUGAUGUAGUCGUACGUCUUCACGAUCGACCGAUCCUCAGCACCGAACGUACGGCACCUCCGCGUUCAGCACACGUUCAGCUCGGUGACGUCCCGCGAACUCACAAUCCAGUAGAGCUUCCGGGAAGAGCUUCGCCAGCACGAGGCGUGGUGACGGUGAUGAUGAUGCUACCGACGCAGAGUUUCACCUAAGCACCACUACGAUAUUACCGAGGUGGAUUAUGGUUGAGGGUGGCACCGCACACGGCUAAGAGAUCAAUCAUCAAUUGUUGUGCCUUGGGGUGCCCCCCUGCCCCCGUAUAUAAAGGAGCUAGGGGGGAGGCGGCCGGCCAGGAGGAGGGCGCACCAAGGGGGGAGUCCUACUCCCACCGGGAGUAGGACUCCUCCUUUCCUAGUAGGAGUAGGAGAAGGGAAGGAAGGGAGAGAGGAAGAGAAAAAAAAAGAAGGGCGCCGCCCCCCUCCUUGUCCAAUUCAUACUAGAGGGGGAGGGGGGGCGCGGCUGCCAUGGCCGCCCCUCCUCUUCUCCCACUAGGGCCCAUUAGGCCCAAUAUACUCCCUCGGGGGUUCUGGUAACCCCUCGGUACUCCGGUACAUGCCUGAAACCUCCCGAAACACUUCCGGUGUCCGAACAUAGUCAUCCAAUAUAUUGAUCUUUACGUCUCGACCAUUUCGAGACUCCUCGUCAUGUCCGUGAUCAUAUCCGGGACUCCGAACUACCUUCGGUACAUCAAGACACAAAAACUCAUAAUACGGAUCGUCACAGAACUUUAAGCGUGCGGACCCUACGGGUUUGAGAACUAUGUAGACAUGACUGAGACACGUCUCUGGUCAAUAACCAAUAGCGGAACCUAGAUGCUCAUAUUGGUUCCUCCAUAUUCUACGAAGAUCUUUAUCGGUCAAACCGCAUAACAAUAUACGUUGUUCCCUUUGUCAUCGGUAUGUUACUUGCCCGAGAUUCGAUCGUCGGUAUCUCAAUACCUAGCUCAAUCUCGUUACCGGCAAGUCUCUUUACUCGUUCUAUAAUGCAUCAUCCCGCAACUAACUCAUUAGUUGCAUUGCUUGCAAGGCUUAUAGUGAUGCAUUACCGAGAGGGCCCAGAGAUACCUCUCCGACAAUGGGAGUGACAAAUCCUAAUCUUGAUCUAUGCCAACUCAACAAGUACCAUCAGAGACACCUGUAGAGCACCUUUAUAAUCACCCAGUUACGUUGUGACGUUUGGUAGCACACAAAGUGUUCCUCCGGUAUUCGGGAGUUGCAUAAUCUCAUAGUCAUAGGAACAUGUAUAAGUCAUGAAGAAAGCAAUAGCAAUAUACUAAACGAUCAAGUGCUAAGCUAACGGAAUGGGUCAAGUCAAUCACAUCAUUCUCUAAUGAUGUGAUCCCGUUAAUCAAAUGACAACUCAUGUCUAUGGCUAGGAAACUUAACCAUCUUUGAUUGAACGAGCUAGUCAAGUAGAGGCAUACUAGUGACACUCUGUUUGUCUAUGUAUUCACACAUGUACUAAGUUUCCGGUUAAUAAAAUUCUAGCAUGAAUAAUAAACAUUUAUCAUGAUAUAAGGAAAUAUAAAUAACAACUUUAUUAUUGCCUCUAGGGCAUAUUUCCUUCAGUCUCCCACUUGCACUAGAGUCAAUAAUCUAGUUCACAUCAUUAGAGUCAAUAAUCUAGUUCAUAUUUCUAUGUCUACAAUGCUCCGCACGGAGCUACUUUAGCUAAAUGCUCCCACUUUCAAUAUGUAUCCAGAUUGAGACAUAGAGUCAUCUGGAUCUGUGUCAAAACUUGCAUCGACGUAACCCUUUACGACGAACCUUUUGUCACCUCCAUAAUCGAGAAACAUAUCCUUAUUCCACUAAGGAUUAUUUUGACCGCUGUUAAGUGAUCUACUCCUAGAUCACUAUUGUACUCCCUUGCCAAACUCAGUGUAGGGUAUACAAUAGAUCUGGUACACAGCAUGGCAUACUUUAUAGAACUUAUGGCUGAGGCAUAGGGAAUGACUUUCAUUCUCUUUCUAUCUUCUGCCGUGGUCAGGCUUUGAGUCUUACUCAAUUUCACAUCUUGUAACACAGGCAAGAACUCUUUCUUUGACUGUUCCAUUUUGAACUACUUCAAAAUCUUGUCAAGGUAUGUACUCAUUGAAAAAACUUAUCAAACGUCUUUAUCUAUCUCCAUAGAUCUUGAUGCUCAAUAUGUAAGCAGCUUCACCGAGGUCUUUCUUUGAAAAACUCCUUUCAAAUACUCUUUUAUGCUUUCUAGAAAAUUUCUACAUUAUUUCCAAUCAACAAUAUGUCAUUCACAUUUAUUUAUCAGAAAUGUUGUAGUGCUCCCUCUCACUUUCCUGUAAAUACAGGCUUCACUGCAAGUCUGUAUAAAACUAUAUGCUUUGAUCAACUCAUCAAAGCGUAUAUUCCAACUCCGAGAUGCUUGCACCAGUCCAUAGAUGGAUCGCUGGAGCUUGCACAUUUUGUUAGCACCUUUAGGAUCGACAAAACCUUCUGGUUGUAUCAUAUACAACUCUUCUUCCAGAAAUCCAUUCCGGAAUGCAGUUUUGACAUCCAUUUGCCAAAUUUCAUAAUCACAAAAUGCGGCAAUUGCUAACAUGAUUCGGACAGACUUAAGCAUCGCUACGGGUGAGAAAGUCUCAUCGUAGUCAACCCCUUGAACUUGUCGAAAACCUUUCGCAACAAGUCGAGCUUUGUAGACAGUAACAUUACCGUCAGCGUCAGUCUUCUUCUUGAAGAUCCAUUUAUUUUCUAUGGCUUGCCGAUCAUCGGGCAAGUCAACCAAAGUCCACACUUUGUUCUCAUACAUGGAUCCCAUCUCAGAUUUCAUGGCCUCAAGCCAUUUUGCGGAAUCUGGGCUCAUCAUCGCUUCCUCAUAGUUCGUAGGUUCAUCAUGAUCAAGUAACUUGACCUCCAGAACAGGAUUACCGUACCACUCUGGUACGGAUCUCACUCUGGUUGACCUACGAGGUUUGGUAGUAACUUGAUCUGAAGUUACAUGAUCAUCAUCAUUAGCUUCCUCACUAAUUGGUGUAGGAGUCACAGGAACAGAUUUCUGUGAUGAACUACUUUCCAAUAAGGGAGCAGGUACAUUAUACGUAUCCGUCGUAUCUACUUUUCCAAAGACUUUUGCCCUUGUUUUGGACUCUAACUUGCAUGAUUUGAAUGGAACUAACCCAAACUGACGUUGUUUUCAGCAGAAUUGCCAUGGUGUUAUUUAUGUGCAGAAACAAAAGUUCUCGGAAUGACCUGAAACUCCACGGAACUUAUUUUUGGAAAAUAAUAAAAAUAUUGGCGAAAGAAUCAAGGCCAGGGGGCCCACCACCUGUCCACGAGGGUGGGGGCACGCCUGCCCCCCCUGGGCGCACCCCCUGCCUCGUGGGCCCCCUGUUGCUCCACCGACCUCAACUCCAACUCCAUAUAUUCGUGUUCGGGGAGAAAAAAAUCAGAGAGAAAGAUUCA